GACGAACGCUGGCGGCGUGCCUAACACAUGCAAGUCGAACGGAGCAGAUCCCGUUCGGGGGUUUGCUUAGUGGCGAACGGGUGAGUAACGCGUGAGGAACCUCCCUUUCAGUGGGGGACAACAGUUGGAAACGACUGCUAAUACCGCAUAAUGCUUUUGAGCGGCAUCGCUUGAAAGCCAAAGAUUUAUCGCUGAUAGAUGGGCAUGCGUUCCAUUAGAUAGUUGGUGAGGUAACGGCUCACCAAGUCUACGAUGGAUAGGGGUUCUGAGAGGAAGGUCCCCCACACUGGUACUGAGACACGGACCAG
rnacentral:rRNA from 1 species